CCUACGGGAGGCAGCAGUAGGGAAUCUUCGUCAAUGGGCGCAAGCCUGAACGAGCAAUGCCGCGUGAACGAGGAAGGUCUUCGGAUCGUAAAGUUCUGUUGAUGGGGAAAAAGAGCGGAGAGAGGAAAUGCUUUCUGAUUGAUAUUACCCUUCGAGGAAGCCACGGCCAACUACGUGCCAGCAGCCGCGGUAAUACGAAGGUGGCGAGAGUUAUCCGGAUUGAUUGGGCGAAAGGGGUGCGUAGGCGGCCUGCUAAGUCUGGAGUGAAAGGUACCGGCUCAACCGGUACAGGCUAUUGAAACUGGCGUGCUAGAGAGCGGGAGAGGGAGGUGGAACUCCAUGUGUAGCGGUAAAAUGCGUAGAUAUAUGGAAGAACACCAAUGGCGAAGGCGGCCGCCUGGCCUGUUACUGACGCUGAGGCACGAAAGCGUGGGGAGCAAAUAGGAUUAGAUACCCCGGUAGUC
rnacentral:rRNA from 1 species